AAUAGAUACCCCGGUAGUCCACGCCGUAAACGAUGGAUGCUAGCUGUUAUCGGUAUCGACCCCGGUAGUGGCGAAGCUAACGCGUUAAGCAUCCCGCCUGUGGAGUACGGUCGCAAGACUAAAACAUAAAGGAAUUGACGGGGACCCGCACAAGCGGUGGAGCGUGUUGUUUAAUUCGAUGGUAAGCGAAGAACCUUACCCAGGUUUGACAUCCUUGGAAUUUCUCCGAAAGGAGAAAGUGCUUUUGAACCAAGUGACAGGUGAUGCAUGGCCGUCGUCAGCUCGUGUCGUGAGAUGUUUGGUUAAGUCCACCAACGAGCGCAACCCUUGUGAUUAGUUGGAUUUUUCUAAUCAGACUGCCCUGGCAACAGGGAGGAAGGAGGGGAUGAUGUCAGGUCCGUAUCUCCCUUAUAUCUGGGGCCACAAACACGCUACAAUGGCCGGUACAAAGGGCAGCCAAGUCGCGAGACGGGGCAAAUCCCAUCAAAGCCGGUCCCAGUUCGGAUAGCAGGCUGAAACCCGCCUGCUUGAAGUCGGAAUCGCUAGUAACGGU
rnacentral:rRNA from 1 species